rnacentral:rRNA from 1 species
UACGAAGGGGGCUAGCGUUGCUCGGAAUCACUGGGCGUAAAGCGCACGUAGGCGGCUCUCUAAGUCAGGGGUGAAAUCCCGGGGCUCAACCCCGGAACUGCCUUCGAUACUGGCGAUCUCGAGUCCGGAAGAGGUGAGUGGAACUCCUAGUGUAGAGGUGGAAUUCGUAGAUAUUAGGAAGAACACCAGUGGCGAAGGUGGCUCACUGGUCCGGUACUGACGCUGAGGUGCGAAAGCGUGGGGAGCAAACAGG